AGCAGCCGCGGUAAUUCCAGCUCCAAUAGCGUAUAUUAAAGUUGUUGCAGUUAAAAAGCUCGUAGUUGAUUUCGGGAUCAAUACGCCUGUCGUGCCUUCGGUACGUACGGGUGUAAUUGGUUUCUACCUUCUGAGGAUCCUUGAUGUCAUUAAUUUGGUGUCUUGGGGAAUCAGGACUGUUACCUUGAAAAAAAUUAGAGUGUUUAAAGCAGGCAUACGCUUGAAUACAUUAGCAUGGAAUAAUGAAAUAGGACGUUCGAUUCUAUUUUGUUGGUUUCUAGGAUCGACGUAAUGAUUAAUAGGGAUAGUUGGGGGCAUUAGUAUUCAAUUGUCAGAGGUGAAAUUCUUGGAUUUAUUGAAGACUAACUACUGCGAAAGCAUUUGCCAAGGAUGUUUUCAUUAAUCAAGAACGAAAGUUAGGGGAUCGAAGACGAUCAGAUACCGUCGUAG
rnacentral:rRNA from 1 species